rfam:Triticum aestivum genome assembly, contig: Triticum_aestivum_CS42_TGACv1_scaffold_223407_3B
AGCCUACUCCCUCCGUUCCAGAUACAUGCCUUUUAUUUGUCAAAAUAUAGAUGUAUCUAGACAUAUUUUAGUAUACAGAUACAUUUAUUUUUGGACAAAUGAAAAUCAAGUAUUUUAAAACGGAGGGAGUAGUUC